rnacentral:lncRNA from 1 species
GCUUCACUGGGCUGUGCGCAGUGGCUCUCUUGCUUGCUGUCUCUCAGGAACAUUCAGUAUAACAGUGCGCUUACCUUUGUCCCCACAGUCUGGAAAGUACUUCACAUAUUCUCUUCUAAACUGAACAACAAUAGCAUUGUUAAAUACACAUUCUCCCACGCCGUUUGAAAUCGAAAUAUUAUAGUCAUGUGCGGCUGAAAUUGAUCUUUUAUGAUUUCCAUUGAUGAACCUGAGAGCCAAAGGAGGAAGAUCAAAACUGUGGUGUUAAGGGUUUAAAAUAGAAAACAUUUAAAGUACUGUUCAUUCUUAAUAUUCUUCCAAGCAUCCCUCCUACCGCCUGGUAUAUGUGCUCAUUUUCACUGCUGAUGCCAGCCCCUAAGAGAGGACACACAGAAACAGCUCCUGCACCAACAGUGGAAGGUGAGGUAAACAAAACUUUCAUACAUCUCACUGUGUAUUCACAAUGUCCUUUUCUAAGCUGUAAACACAUCCUGCUUUUAUUUCAGGACCAUAAUACGGGUACACAGACAUAGAAAAAAAUCUCAAUAUUACGUAGUCCAGCUGCACACUGAACAGCCAUCUGCUUGGGACUACUCCCAUCCUUCAUUGAGAACACUAUAAUUGGCCAUCAGGAACUCUCGAGACGAUUUGAUAAGUGGCUUCAUAACACAAAAUCAUAGAAUCAUUAAGGUUGGAAAAGACCUCCAAGAUAAUCUAGUCCAACUGUCAACCCAUCAUCAAUAUUGCCCACUAACCAUGACCCUCAGUGCCACAUCUACGUGUUUCUUGAACACCUCCAGGGAUGGUGACUCCACCACUCCCCUGGGCAGCCUGUGCCUGUGCCUGACUACUGUUUCAGAGAAGAACUUUUUUUUUCCUAAAAUAAUAUCUAUGUGGACCUUGUAUUUUCAGUUUCAGAGUUCUACCUUAACAAAGCAGUGUAAGAAGGUGCUUUGAAAUGUAUAUUGACCGUAGGAACCAACACAUCCCAGUCUGGCUUCUCUGUGGAUUUUACCAUUGGAGGAGGUCCCAAAGCCCAGUGGCUCUGAGGAAGUGCCUCAUAACUGUGGGGAAUUCCUGCCACGGAGACAUCUCACAUGCUAUGCAGAGCCACGCAGUGCCCGUGCUCCACUCCUACAAAUACAGCAGCGCGUGGCUCAGGCCCAACUCCCUCAGCCUGUCCUCAUAGGAGAGGUGUUCCACCCCUUGGGUCAUUUCUGUGGCCCUCCUCCGGAUGCACUCCAACAGCUCCAUGUCUCUCCCGUACUGAGGACUCCACAUCUGGACGCGGUACUCCAGGUGAGGUCUCACCUCAGGGCAGGCAGAGCAGAGGGGCAGGAUCACCUCCCUCUCCCUGCUGGCCACUCUUCCUUUGAUGCAGCCCAGGAUACGGUUGGCUCUUCUUUUAAAAAGACAAGAAAUUUUACUCCACCGCUUUUCCAGCGAGCGGCACCGCUGUC